GUGUUGGACUAGUAACCAGCAGGUAGCCUAGUGGUUAGAGUGUUGGGUCAGUAAUCAGCAGGUAGUCUAGUGGUUAGAGUGUUGGACCAGUAACCAGCAGGUAGCCUAGUGGUUAGAGUGUUGGGUCAGUAACCAGCAGGUAGCCUAGUGGUUAGAGCGUUGGGUCAAUAACCAGCAGGUAGUCUAGUGGUUAGAGUGUUGGGUCAGUAACCAGCAGGUAGCCUAGUGGUUAGAGUGUUGGGCCAGUAACCAGCAGGUAGCCUAGUGGUUAGAGUGUUGGGCCAGCAGGUAGCCUAGUGGUUAGAGUGUUGGACUAGUAACCAGCAGGUAGCCUAGUGGUUAGAGUGUUGGACUAGUAACCAGCAGGUAGCCUAGUGGUUAGAGUGUUGGACUAGUAACCAGCAGGUAGCCUAGUGGUUAGAGUGUUGGGCCAGUAACCAGCAGGUAGCCUAGUGGUUAGAGUGUUGGGUCAGUAACCACCAGGUAGUCUAGUGGUUAGAGCGUUGGGACAGUAACCAGCAGGUAGCCUAGUGGUUAGAGUGUUGGGACGGC
ensembl:lncRNA